rnacentral:rRNA from 1 species
GACGAACGCUGGCGGCGUGCCUAAUACAUGCAAGUCGAGCGAAGGGACGAGAUGCUUGUUUCUCUGAUGUUAGCGGCGGACGGGUGAGUAACACGUGGAUAAUCUACCUAUAAGACUGGGACAACUUCGGGAAACCGGUGCUAAUACCGCAUAAUAUUUUGAACCACAUGGUUCAAGAGUGAAAGACGGUAUUGCUUUCCCUUAUAAAUGGACCCGCGCUGCAUUAGCUAGUUGGUAAGGUAACGGCCUACCAAGGCAACGAUGAAUAGCCGACCGAGGAGGGUGAUGGGCCACACUGGAACGGGGCAACGGCCAAGACUCCUCCGGGAGGAGGCAGUAGGGAAUUUUCGGCAAUGGGCGAAGGCCGACCGGGGCACCGCGGCGGGGUGGAUGAGGUUCUCCGGACCGUAAAACUCUGUUAUAGGGAAGGAAGAUAUGUGUAGGUGACUGUGCAUAUCUUGACGGUACCUAAUCAGAAAGCCACGGCUAACUACGUG